ensembl:lncRNA PCBP1-AS1 PCBP1 antisense RNA 1
AGGGGUGUUUGGCUUCUCAGACCCCAGCCUGAGCUAGUGCCCUUGGCUUCCUAGGGUCUUGCCAGGAAAGCAAAGGAGAACAUGCAUACCGCCAAAGAGUACCUAAUAAUAAGAACUCCCAUCCUGAAUUGUGAUUUAUAGUCAGCAUAGCACAUGUGUCAGGGAGGAGGACCUGGUUGAUAGAAGAAUUUAUCUCGUAGUCUUAACA